rnacentral:rRNA from 1 species
UACGUAGGGGGCAAGCGUUGUCCGGAGUUACUGGGCGUAAAGCGCACGCAGGCGGUCCUUUUUGUUCCGGGUGACAGUGGGAAGCUUCACUUCCCAAGGCUCCGGAAAACGGGAGGACUUGGAGGGCCAGAGAGGGACAUGGAAUUCCGGGUGGAGCGGUGAAAUGCGUAGAGAUCCGGAGGAACACCACAGGCGAAGGCAGUGUCCUGGCUGGCUCCUGACGCUCAGGUGCGAAAGCGAGGGGAGCAAACGGG